rnacentral:rRNA from 1 species
AGAGUUUGAUCAUGGCUCAGAUUGAACGCUGGCGGCAGGCCUAACACAUGCAAGUCGAGCGGAUGAAGGGAGCUUGCUCCUCUGACGAGUGGCGGACGGGUGAGUAAUGUCUGGGAAACUGCCUGAUGGAGGGGGAUAACUACUGGAAACGGUAGCUAAUACCGCAUAACGUCGCAAGACCAAAGAGGGGGACCUUCGGGCCUCUUGCCAUCGGAUGUGCCCAGAUGGGAUUAGCUAGUAGGUGGGGUAACGGCUCACCUAGGCGACGAUCCCUAGCUGGUCUGGGAGGAUGACCAGCCACACUGGAACUGAGACACGGUCCAGACUCCUACGGGAGGCAGCAGUGGGGAAUAUUGCACAAUGGGCGCAAGCCUGAUGCAGCCAUGCCGCGUGUAUGAAGAAGGCCUUCGGGUUGUAAAGUACUUUCAGCGGGGAGGAAGGGAGUAAAGUUAAUACCUUUGCUCAUUGACGUUACCCGCAGAAGAAGCACCGGCUAACUCCGUGCCAGCAGCCGCGGUAAUACGGAGGGUGCAAGCGUUAAUCGGAAUUACUGGGCGUAAAGCGCACGCAGGCGGUUUGUUAAGUCAGAUGUGAAAUCCCCGGGCUCAACCUGGGAACUGCAUCUGAUACUGGCAAGCUUGAGUCUCGUAGAGGGGGGUAGAAUUCCAGGUGUAGCGGUGAAAUGCGUAGAGAUCUGGAGGAAUACCGGUGGCGAAGGCGGCCCCCUGGACGAAGACUGACGCUCAGGUGCGAAAGCGUGGGGAGCAAACAGGAUUAGAUACCCUGGUAGUCCACGCCGUAAACGAUGUCGACUUGGAGGUUGUGCCCUUGAGGCGUGGCUUCCGGAGCUACGCGUUAAGUCGACCGCCUGGGGAGUACGGCCGCAAGGUUAAAACUCAAAUGAAUUGACGGGGGCCCGCACAAGCGGUGGAGCAUGUGGUUUAAUUCGAUGCAACGCGAAGAACCUUACCUGGUCUUGACAUCCACGGAAGUUUUCAGAGAUGAGAAUGUGCCUUCGGGAACCGUGAGACAGGUGCUGCAUGGCUGUCGUCAGCUCGUGUUGUGAAAUGUUGGGUUAAGUCCCGCAACGAGCGCAACCCUUAUCCUUUGUUGCCAGCGGUCCGGCCGGGAACUCAAAGGAGACUGCCAGUGAUAAACUGGAGGAAGGUGGGGAUGACGUCAAGUCAUCAUGGCCCUUACGACCAGGGCUACACACGUGCUACAAUGGCGUAUACAAAGAGAAGCGACCUCGCGAGAGCAAGCGGACCUCAUAAAGUGCGUCGUAGUCCGGAUUGGAGUCUGCAACUCGACUCCAUGAAGUCGGAAUCGCUAGUAAUCGUGGAUCAGAAUGCCACGGUGAAUACGUUCCCGGGCCUUGUACACACCGCCCGUUACACCAUGGGAGUGGGUUGCAAAAGAAGUAGGUAGCUUAACCUUCGGGAGGGCGCUUACCACUUUGUGAUUCAUGACUGGGGUGAAGUCGUAACAAGGUAACCGUA